rnacentral:tRNA from 1 species
GCCUGGCUGGCUCAGUUAGAAGAGCAUGUGACUCUUGAUCUCAUGGUCAUAAGUUCAAGCCCCGUGUCAGGUG